GGACGAACGCUGGCGGCGUGCCUAACACAUGCAAGUCGAGCGGAGUCGAUCGACGGAAGCCUUCGGGCGGAAGAUGGUUGACUUAGCGGCGGAUGGGUGAGUAACGCGUGGGCAACCUGCCUCGAAGACCGGGAUAACAGCCCGAAAGGGCUGCUAAUACCGGAUGUGGUCAAGGAUCCGCAUGGAUUUUUGAUUAAAGGGGAAACCCGUUUCGAGAUGGGCCCGCGUCCUAUCAGCUAGUUGGUGAGGUAAAAGCUCACCAAGGCGACGACGGGUAGCCGGCCUGAGAGGGUGACCGGCCACACUGGAACUGAGACACGGUCCAGACUCCUACGGGGGGCAGCAGUGGGGAAUCUUCCACAAUGGGCGAAAGCCUGAUGGAGCGACGCCGCGUGAGCGAAGAAGGCCUUCGGGUUGUAAAGCUCUGUCUGGAGGGACGAAGGAAGUGACGGUACCCUGCGAAUAAGCCCCGGCUAACUACGUGCCAGCAGCCGCGGUAAUACGUAGGGGGCGAGCGUUGUCCGAAUUCACUGGGCGUAAAGCGCGCGUAGGCGGGUUUUUAAGUUGUGGGUGAAAUUCCGAGGCUCAACCUCGUAACUGCCUGCAAAACUGGGAGCCUUGAGGUAUGGAGAGGGAAGUGGAAUUCCUGGUGUAGCGGUGAAAUGCGUAGAUAUCAGGAGGAACACCCGUGGCGAAGGCGGCUUCCUGGCCAUAUCCUGACGCUGAGGUGCGAAAGCUAGGGUAGCGAACGGGAUUAGAUACCCCGGUAGUCCUAGCCGUAAACGAUGGAUACUAGGUGUUAGAGGUAUCGACCCCUCUAGUGCCGCAGCUAACGCAUUAAGUAUCCCGCCUGGGGAGUACGACCGCAAGGUUGAAACUCAAAGGAAUUGACGGGGGCCCGCACAAGCGGUGGAGCAUGUGGUUUAAUACGUCACUAACCGUAGAACCUUACCCAGGCUUGACAUCUAGGGAAUCUGGAUGAAAGUCUAGAGUGCCCUCGGGAGCCCUAAGACAGGUGUUGCAUGGCUGUCGUCAGCUCGUGUCGUGAGAUGUUGGGUUAAGUCCCGCAACGAGCGCAACCCUCAUUCGAUGUUGCCAGCGUAAAGUCGGGAACUCUUCGAAAACUGCCCGUGUAAGCGGGAGGAAGGUGGGGAUGACGUCAAGUCAGCAUGGCCCUUACGCCUGGGGCUACACACAUGCUACAAUGGACGCUAACAAAGGGCAGCAAUACCGCGAGGUGGAGCGAAUCUCACAAAUGCGUCCUCAGUUCGGAUUGUAGUCUGCAACUCGACUACAUGAAGUCGGAAUCGCUAGUAACCGCAGGUCAGCUAAACUGCGGUGAAUACGUUCCCGGGCCU
rnacentral:rRNA from 1 species